rnacentral:ncRNA from 2 species
ACUUCAUCAAGAGCGGCUGAGAGAUUGGCUCGACGACGCCGCAGCAACCGUGGGAUUCCCUCAAGGUGCUAAUGCCAGUGACGAUGAAAG